rnacentral:tRNA from 1 species
GGCUCAGUAGUACAAUGGUAAAAGCGCUCGUCACAGAAUCAGAGAGUCCUAGGUUCGAUCCCCAACAGAGUCG